CGCGUGAGUAACCUGCCUUACACAAGGGGAUAGCCGUUGGAAACGACGAAUAAUACCCUAUGAAGCCAUAUAAAGCGCAUGCAGUUGUGGUCAAAGUGUUUAGCGGUGUAAGAUGGACUUGCGUCUGAUUAGCUAGUUGGUGAGAUAACAGCUCACCAAGGCAACAAUCAGUAGCCGGCUUGAGAGAGUGUACGGCCACAUUGGGACUGAGACACGGCCCAG
rnacentral:rRNA from 1 species